UCUAUUUAGCCCCUUUUUUCUUUUCCGUCAGUCCCUAUUCCAACACCAACCGUUUCUUUACUCCACUACUUUCUCUUGUACUUUAUAAAUCACUUCUCUGUCACGCUAAUUCUUUUUCAUUAGUUCUUCAUCCACCGCUCCAGCCUCUUUUACUACUACUACUUCUUCUUCUACUACUACUACUACUACUACUACUACUAUUACCACAGCAGAUGGGACGCACAGCUGAAAUGUGUUUGACUCAAUAUGCCGACCUCAGCCCACAAUCGCACACGUACACGCACGCGAUCAGCACCAGCUGGCGUUUUCUUCGGGUGACGGGUGCGGGUGACAAGGGGGAGCUAAGCUAUUUCGUCAGACCUGCUGCAGUGAUUCUGUCGCGAGGCUGAAGGGUACAGUACGAGUACACAGUACACCUUGACCUAGCGUGCCCUGGGAGACGAGGAGCAUCAUGGGUAACGCAUGCCACCCAACCAGCUGUUGUGGAGGUGGUGAUGCCUUUAAGAGUGAACAAAAUAGCAAGGAAAGGACGCUGGCAACAGAGGGAAGCAUACAAGAUGGAAAGAGAGGAAGAUACAUCACUACAGAAGAAAUAAGGGGAGUCAAUGAUACAAAAGAUGAAAGCGUGUUUCAAACUGCAGAAGGAGGAAGAGGAAGUACAGUCAUAUAUGAGGAAGAAGAAAGAAAAGAUAUUUAUAAAUUAGAAAUCCCUGCUCCAAAACAAAGUGCUUAUGAAAAUGAAGGCAGUUUCAGAAGGUUAGAGAGAGAGAAAUGUAGAAUUAGUGAGGAAAAGAAAGGAAGGUUUUCACCAAAGAGUGUAGUACCUGAAUGGGAAGAAGAGGAAGAGGAGGAGGAAGAAAAGAAAAGGGAAGAUUAUAAACGGGAUGGAGUGAGAGACUUUAAAGAAUUUAACAGUGUACAGAAGGAAAGGAAAUACAGAAUAAAAAGUGAAGAAUUGAAAAGGAGAGAUUAUGAAGAUAAAAGACAAAAAUCAAAACUGAAUAAUGCAGUGGAAGGGAAAAAAUACAAAGAAAACCAACUAUAUCAAACAGAAGACAGAACAUACAGGCAAGGAAACAAAUUUUAUGACAUGGGAGAGAUAAUAUACAGAGAAGAAAAACAGAAUAAUCUCUCCAUCUCUCUAUAUGAAGACUAUUUCAGCCUUGACAUGCAGAAAGAAGGAUACUGGAUCACAGAAGAAUCCUUAACUAUAGACACAGAUGACACAGGACUCUUCUGGGAUCCCCCUUGGAUAAAUCCUUAUGACAAACCAGAGAAGAAUACUCAGUCGGAAGAGGAAGAUGAGGAAGAUAAGGAAAGUGAAGAGAUAAAACUAAGUAUGAAUCUUUUCCCUAACUUCCAAGGCAAUGAUAACACUAUUGCUACUACUACCAUUACUACCACUACUGCUUCUAUUCCUACUUCUACUGCUACCAAUGCUGCAGGGUUGGAUGGAGCAGCAGCAGCAGGGUGGAGUGUACCUCUAGGGAAGUGUGUAAGUAUUGAUACAGGUGGUGUAGCUAUAGAAGCCUUCGGUCUGAGAGCCACAGUUGGGAUGCAUCCUUCUAUCACUUUUCUCGGACACAGUCUCCUACACUUGCUGUCUGGCCCUGACUAGAACACAACCAGAGGGAAGCUGAAGAAGGUCAAAAUCCUUGCACCUGGCAAUUAAUAGGAACAACCACAGAGUCAGUCACUUUUAGUAGCUUGUGACCUGAUCCACUUACUACUAGAGUCAACCUGUCACAUUUUGUUGCUUAUGACCUGUUCUGUUGACCACAAACUACUGCUGAGCUAAUGUUCUGUCUCAAGCUAUGCCAGGAGGGACCUAGAGGCCGCCAUUCUUUACUUACCUGAGCAAGGAAGGACUGCCUCUCUGCAUCACCCUGGAAAAAGUGAAUACCAUUGUUGAAAGUAAGUGUAUCAAUGCUGCUUAUCUAAUAAUAUAUGCAUACACAAGAUUUAAAUUAUAUGUAUACUGGUGUGAAUAAAAAAAAUCCAACACCACAAGUUCAGGAAAGAAAUUGAUAAAUGUGUAGAUGAUCUUACCUCCUUGCAUGAUCUUGUAUAUUAAUUUCUCUUUCUCAUAUGCAAGUUGCUUUAUAUUAGAGUUUACACUAGGAAAUAUUCUGUUUUUGAUACCAGAAUAUUAUCAUCAUAACUAUCACUCUUAUUAUCCUCAAAGAACUAUGCUUCAUAUAACAACAAUGUAUACUCAUGGAAAAUUGGAUAGUUCUUACAUUUUACAUUGAUUCGUUCUCAAAUAAAAGCACUUGAAAUCAUAA